CUGCCCUCUUCUUUGGGAUAACGCCCGGAAACGGGUGCUAAUACUGGAUAUUCACUGGCCUUCGCAUGGGGGUUGGUGGAAAGGUUUGUUCUGGUGGGGGAUGGGCUCGCGGCCUAUCAGCUUGUUGGUGGGGUGAUGGCCUACCAAGGCUUUGACGGGUAGCCGGCCUGAGAGGGUGACCGGUCACAUUGGGACUGAGAUACGGCCCAGACUCCUACGGGAGGCAGCAGUGGGGAAUAUUGCACAAUGGGCGAAAGCCUGAUGCAGCGACGCCGCGUGAGGGAUGGAGGCCUUCGGGUUGUAAACCUCUUUCGCUCAUGGUCAAGCCGCAACUGUGGGUUGUGGUGAGGGUAGUGGGUAAAGAAGCGCCGGCUAACUACGUGCCAGCAGCCGCGGUAAUACGUAGGGCGCGAGCGUUGUCCGGAAUUAUUGGGCGUAAAGGGCUUGUAGGCGGUUGGUCGCGUCUGCCGUGAAAUCCUCUGGCUUAACUGGGGGCGUGCGGUGGGUACGGGCUGACUUGAGUGCGGUAGGGGAGACUGGAACUCCUGGUGUAGCGGUGGAAUGCGCAGAUAUCAGGAAGAACACCGGUGG
rnacentral:rRNA from 1 species